rnacentral:rRNA from 1 species
AACGAACGCUGGCGGCAGGCUUAGCACAUGCAAGUCGAACGCCCCGCAAGGGGAGUGGCAGACGGGUGAGUAACGCGUGGGAACGUACCCUUCGCUUCGGAAUAGCCCCGGGAAACUGGGUGUAAUACCGGAUACGCCGUAUUGGGAAAGAUUUAUCGGCGAAGGAUCGGCCCGCGUUGGAUUAGCGAGUUGGUGGGGUAAUGGCCUACCAAGGCGACGAUCCAUAGCUGGUCUGAGAGGAUGACCAGCCACACUGGGACUGAGACACGGCCCAGACUCCUACGGGAGGCAGCAGUGGGGAAUCUUGGACAAUGGGGGCAACCCUGAUCCAGCCAUGCCGCGUGAGUGAAGAAGGCCUUAGGGUUGUAAAACUCUUUUACCAGGGAUGAUAAUGACAGUACCUGGAGAAUAAGCUCCGGCUAACUCCGUGCCAGCAGCCGCCGUAA